CAGGGCGGCGGCCGUUCGACAGGACCGACCCCCUCGACCCCUCGACGCCUCGACCCACCCUGGGACCCACCAUGAGCCCCAGCGGCGACCCCACCCUGCUGGCUGGAAUCCUAUACUACUGUCAAGAAGGUUACUUCCGCCACGUGCAGAAUGCAGCCAUCGAGGGGCUGGAGAAAUCCCCCAACGAUGCGGUGCUGCAGUUUUUCAAAGCCUAUGGUCUGCUGCGUGAGGAGAGGAUCAGGGAUGCCAUCGGUGAGCUGGAGAACAUCCGGAAUCGCCCUGAUGUUUCCCUCUGCUCCAUCAUGGCCCUCAUCUACGCUCACAAGCGCUGCGAAACCGUGGACCGGGAAGCAGUUCUGGACCUGGAGCGGGAGCUGAAAGAAACCCGCAAGGCAGCGGGUGAGAAGGCGCUGUACUACGCCGCGCUGUUCCUGUGGCUGCUGGGUCGCCAAGACAAGGCGAGGGAAUAUGCCGACCGCAUGCUGAAACUCUCCAAGGGCUCCAGAGAGGGCUACGUCCUCCGAGGCUGGCUGGAGCUGUGCCCCGAACAGCCGGCCGCCGGGAAGAAAGCCAUCAAGCUCCUGGACCAGGGUGUGCAAGACGCCAAGGACGCAUUCGGGCUGUUGGGGAAGGUCAGCUAUUUCAUGCUGCAGCAGAACUACGCUGGGGCUCUGGAAGUCGUUAACCAGAUGACCGCCUCCUUCUCGCACUUCAUUCCCGCUCUGGUGCUCAGAAUGAAGCUGUUCCUGGCCCAGCAGGACUGGGAGCAGGCGGUGGAGGCAGGGCACAGGAUCCUAGAGAAAGAUCUGAGCAACCUCGAUGCCAGGCAGCUCCUCGCAGUGCACGCGCUGGCCAGAGAAGGCAGCGGGUCCUCGACCAUUGAUCACGUCAGGAACCUGAUCAAGGCCCUGGAGACCAGAGAGCCCCAGAACCCAAACCUUCACUUGAAAAAAAUCCGCGUCGUGAGCAGAUUGAGCGGGAGGAACCCCAUGAUCCUGCAGCACAUCUCGGGGUUAAUGGAACGCACGUUCUUGAUGGCCCCAUCAGAGGCCCUGUUUGCCACCGAGCUGGCCUACCAGCUGCUGAUCCAGGGCAAGGUGAAGGAGGCCUCUCAGUGGUACACGGAAGCCAUGAAGCUGGAUGAGAGCAGCUUGACCGCACUGACCGGGAUCAUCAGGUGCCAGGUCCUGGAGGGGCGGCUGGAGGAGGCCGAGCAGCAGCUGGAAUUCCUGCAGGAGGUGCAGCAGUCCUCGGGGAAAUGCAAGGUCCUCCUGUACCUCCAGGCCGUCCUGGCAUCCCGGGGGCAGAAAAGCGAGCAGUCAACCACCAUGCUUCUGGAGGAGGCGGCUGAGCUGCACUUCUCAUGCCUGCGCGGACUCCCCCUGGGCAUGGAAUACCUGGAGAGGCUCAACCCCCUCUUCCUGGCAGACCUGGUGAAGGAACUCUUGGCCUUCUGCCCCAAGCAGCCUCGGCCGCCCGGCCAGAUCGUAUCUCCUCUACUCAAACAAGCGGCCCUGAUCCUCAGUCCGGUCAUCCAGGUGGCUCCCGCGCUGCUCGAGCCACUCUAUCUCAUGGCACAAGUGAACUACCUGUCCGGAGAGCUGGACACAGCUCAGAGCACGCUGCAGCGCUGCAUAGACAUGCACCACACCUCACCGGAUGCCCACCUGCUCAUGGCCCAGGUCUACCUGGCCCAGGGCAACUCCAAAAUGUGCUCCCACUUACUGGAGCUGGGCGUCAGCCACAACUUCCAGGUCCGAGACCAACCCCUUUACCACUUGAUCAAAGCCAGAGCGUUGAACCAGAAGGGAGACUACCCUGAGGCCAUCAAGACACUGAAGAUGGUUUUGAAGCUGCCCGGGCUAAAGAAGGGUGAAGGCCGGAAAGUACACAGGACAGCCAUGCCCCCGAGCGAGCGUGUGUCCGUCCUCCUGGAGCUGGUCGAGGCACUGAGGCUGAACGGAGAAUUGCACGAGGCCACCAAGGUGAUGCAGGACACCAUCAAUGAGUUCAGCGGGACCCCAGAGGAGAUCCGCGUCACCAUCGCCAACGUGGACCUGGCACUGAGCAAGGGUCAGGUGGACUUGGCUGUCAGCAUGCUGCGGGGUGUCACGCCGGACCAACCCUGCUACACCGAGGCCAAAGAGAAGAUGGCCCGCAUCUACCUGCAAACCCGCAAGGACCCGCGGCUCUUCAUCGGCUGCUACCGUGACCUGUGUGACCACCUGCCCGGGCCCCACAGCAGCCUGCUCCUCGGAGACGCCUUCAUGACCAUCCAGGAGCCAGAGAAAGCCCUGGAGGUGUACGACCAAGCUUACCGGAAAAAUCCUCAUGACGCGUCUCUGAUCAGCCGCAUCGGGCAAGCCUAUGUCAAGACGCACCAGUACGGCAAGGCCAUCAGCUACUAUGAGGCAGCGCAGAAGAUGAGCGGGCAGGAGUCGCUGCGCUGGGACCUGGCCCAGCUGCUCUUGAAGCUACGAAAGUUCUCCAAGGCAGAGAAGGUGCUUCAACAAGCCCUGGAGCAUGACUCUGCGAAUGACGUCCCUUCCAUGAUGAACGACGUCAAGUGUCUGCUUCUUCUGGCCCAAGUCUACAAGGGCAACAAGAACGAAGCGGUGCUGGGGACUUUGGACAAGGCCCUGGACCUGCAGACCAGAGUGCUGAAACGGCUGCCGCUGGAGCAGGCGGAAAUGAUCCCGGCCCAGAAGCGGCGGGCGGCGGAGCUCUGGGGCCUGGCCGGGGAGCAGCUCGCCGCCCGGGGUGACCUCGCCAAGGCCGCGCAGCGCUUCCGGGAGGCCCUGGCGCUGUGCCCGGGGGACCAACGGGUGAUGCUGCAGCAGGCGCAGCUGUGCCUGCUGCAGGGAGACCUGGACGCCUGCGAGCACCAGUGCUCCGCGCUCCUGCAGGAGGACCGGGACAACGGCGCCGCCGCCGUGCUGCUGGCGGACCUCAUGUUCCGGAAGCAGAAAUACACGGCCGCCGUCAGCCUGUACCGCCGGGUCCUGGAACGAGAACCCGACAAGUUCUGCGUGCUCAACAAGUUGAUCGACCUGCUGAGACGGAGCGGGAAAAUGGACGAGGCCCCAGCCUUCUUCGAGCUGGUCGAGAGACCGUCCAACCACCUGUCCCUGGAGCCCGGCUACAACUACUGCAAAGGCGUCUACUACUGCAGGCGCGUCGGCCGCCCCAACGAGGCCCUGCGCUCCCUGAACAAGGCGCGAAGGGACAGCACCUGGGGCCUCGGCGCCACCUCCCUCAUGGUCCAGAUCUGCCUCAAUCCGGACAACGAGGUUGUGGGCGGAGAGGUGUUUGAGAAGAUGGGCGAGGAAGCCAGCUACUCGGCGGAGGAGUCCCUGCAGCUCGGAGUGCGGACGGCGGAGCGGCUGCUGCGGGAGUUUUGCCCACGGACCGAGGAUGAACACACCCAGCUGAAAAUGCUGCAAGGAGCCUGCCUGCUGGUGUCCCGGGACAAGCCCAGCCUGGAGCAGGCGCUCAGUACGUUCAUCCAGGUGGCCCAGGCCGAGAGGGACAACGCCUCUGCCAUCUUGGCCGUGGCCCAGGCCUACAUGAUCCUGAAGCAGGUGCCCAAGGCCCGCACGCAGCUCAAGCGCCUGGCCAAGGUGCCCUGGAACCUGCGGGACGCCGAGUCCCUGGAGCAGGCGUGGAUUCUGCUGGCCGACGUCUGCUGCCUCAGGGGCAAGUUCGACGUGGCCAGCGAGCUGCUGCGCCGCUGCCUGCAGUACAACCAGUCCUGCAGCAAAGCCUACGAGUAUCUGGGCUUCGUCAUGGAGAAGGAGCAGGCGUACAAGGACGCGGCAGUGAACUACGAACUCGCCUGGAAAUACAGCAACGGGGCCAACCCCGUCAUCGAGCACUGUUCUAAGCGCUUGGGAAAGUACGACACAGCAACAGAGGCGAUCUCGGAGACGACGUCGCCCUCCUCUUGCUCCUGGCCCCGGUGGUCGUUCUCCAGCUCUCCCCCUAGAAAGAGGUGAGAAUCGGGAUCCCCGCAGUUGCCAGUGUCUGGGAAUUUCCCUUUCCUGUUUUUUUUCCUCCCAGGUUACAAACUCGCAUUCAAUUACCUGAAGGACAGGCGCUACGUGGAAGCCAUAGAAGUGUGUCACAAGGUGCUGAGCGAGUUCCCCCACUACCCCCGGAUAAAGGAAGAAAUUCUGGAGAAGGCGCAGGGAGCCCUAAAACCCUAGCAGGAAGGACCGGGCCGCGGCGGCGCGGCGGGACAUUAGGCCCAAUAAAGUCUCAUGGCCCAAC